rnacentral:tRNA from 1 species
GGACGGGUAGCUCAGUUGGUUAGAGCAACUGGUUUACACCCAGUAGGUCGGGGGUUCGAGUCCCUUCCCGUCCA